CAAAACGUUGAAAAAGCCUAAACCCCAGUUGCUGGAGGAUGUAGCAGCUUACUAAAGAAGUAAUUGUAACCAUGGGCAAAAUCCCUCCUUCAUUCCGCUCCGCUAUAGCAAACCCCAACUCUUCACUCUUCCGUCCCCAACCCCCUCACUUCCCAAACAAACAACAACAACCUCGAAAACCAAAACCCUCUAAACAACAACAAAACCCUUCUUCUUCAUCUCUUCCUCUCUUCAAAUCCCCAAACCUCCAAGACGCCAAAAAACUCUUCAACUCCGACCCCCGCUUCCCCAACUCCCUCCUCCACUCCUACGCUAAACUCGCCCAAACUCCUUCCGACUCCGUCAAUUUCUUCAACCACAUCACCAAAACCCUAUCUUCUUUCUCCCCCGAUCGCUCCACUUUCCACAUCCUCCUCUCCCAUUCCUCCAAUUCCCUCUCCCCAAUCCACCAAACCCUAAAUUUAAUGCUCGCCGCCGGGAUCACCCCCGACACCACCACCGCGGACGUCGCGGUCCGCUCCCUCUGCUCGGCCGCCCGCCUUGACCUCGCCGUUGAACUGAUCAAAGAAUUCGCCUCCAAACACUGCCCACCUGACACCUACACCUUCAACUUCCUCGUCAAGCACCUCUGUAAGUCCCGCACCGUAGCCACUGUCUAUGAUUUCAUCGACGAAAUGCGCGAAAAAUUCGACAUAAAACCCGAUCUAUUCACUUAGACGAUUCUCAUUGACAAUGUGUGCAAUGGGAAGAACCUGAACCUGAGGGAGGCAAUGAGGCUGGUGAGUGUGCUUCAUGAGGAAGGGUUUAAGCCUGAUUGCUUUGUUUACAACACCAUUAUGAAAGGGUAUUGUCUGUUGAGUAGAGGGAGUGAGGUGAUCGAGGUUUAUAAUAAGAUGAAGGAGGAAGGUGUGGAGCCUGAUCUUGUUACUUAUAACACUUUGAUUUUCGGGCUUUCGAAGUCGGGGAGGGUGACCGAGGCGAAGAAGCUGCUUCGUGUGAUGGCGGAGAAAGGCUAUUUUCCCGAUGAGGUCACUUAUACUUCGCUGAUGAAUGGGUUGUGCAGGAAGGGGGAUGCGCUCGGGGCACUGGCGUUGUUGGGGGAGAUGGAGGCCAAAGGGUGUAGUCCUAAUGAGUGCACGUAUAACACGCUGCUGCACGGCUUGUGUAAGGCGAGGUUGGUGGAGAAGGCAGUGGAGUUCUACGGGGUGAUCAGGGCGGGUGGUCUGAAGCUUGAUACGGCCUCUUAUGGGACGUUUGUCAGGGCUCUGUGUAGGGAAGGGAGAAUUGCCGAGAAGUAUGAGGUGUUUGAUUAUGCAGUCGAGAGCGAGAGCUUGACGGACGCUGCUGCUUACUCUACAUUGGAGAGCACUCUUAAGUGGCUCAGGAAGGCGAAAGAACAAGGGCUCACUGUUUAAUUGGUGCUUUCUGUCACCGCUACCAAGGAUGUAAGAGUUGGUUGCAAAGGUUUGGCACUAACUCCAUAAGUGCAUACCAAAGUUGCUAAUACAAUUUCUAUAGGUAUUUGGUUGCUAGUAAAUCUUUGCUAACAGUUUGACACAACUUGGCACCGGAAUCAGCCAACAAACCAAAAUUAUAUAUUCAAUGGUUGUCAUGGGACAGCUUCCUCUGCAGCUGCUUUGGCCAGUCUUGCUGACAUUAUUGAAGUUCCUUUCCGGCUGUCCUGGUCUGCUUGAUUCCAGAGUGCCCUUGAUGAAGAAAAACGUGUCAUUUUUUAUGGAAAAUAUUCAUUAUUUUGAAUCUUAGGAUUCUCUAAUAGAUCCAGAUAACUAAUUUUAAAUAAACCAGAAAGGCACAUUUUAUUGUUUUCACUGAUAAAAGAGCUUGGAGAUGCGACAUUCAUUAGUAUUUGAUAGUUGUUGGUUGCAUAAGGUGCCAUAUCAUUCUACAAGGUUUUGUGGAAUGUGCAUGUUUCAUAGAGAUUUACCUCUACAUUUAUGAGAAUGGAAAUGCUUGGAUAAAAAUUGGAUAAGUGUAUUCAGUAAUAGCAAAUAAUGAACGUGAAGCAAGUAGUUCAGUGCGAUAGAUUAUAGUGAUGUGAGUAAUGAUUUAUCAGUAACAAUGGGGUAGCUAGAGUGGUGAUGUAGAAUGGAAGCUGAUCAUGACAGCAUAAGCCUUGACGACCUUCAAUCUUUUUAUUCUAGUAGUAAACUUAUGAAGUUUUCUCGUUUUUUUGUGUUUAAUUUAUCUCAUUUGCCCAUUUGUAAUUUGCCAUUUUUUUAUCCAUAUGACUUUGUGAAAAAUGUGUAUUGCUACAUGUAGUGUGUGUUUGGAUAAUCGUCUGCCUUUGCAAAAUGAGGUAGUCCAAAGCAUUCCAACUCUUGUUUUUUCUGUUGUGUUUUCAGCGGCUUGUCAGAUCUGUCUUGGAAUUUGUGCAUGUUUGAGGUCAGUUACCGGAAAAUCAAACAUGCUCGUAAUCAUACGAGGGUGACUUUCAAAGUGUAGGCGUGUAGUAGUCAUGUAUCGUAAGAUUCAAUCUUCAUUACAUCUGUUGAAAAAUCAAGUGGAAAGAGAGUGGUGAUUUAUCAAUAAAAUUUAGUUAAUCAUAGAAGUGUUAAGAGAAGAAUGGCAAAGAGUAUAUAUAAAAAAAGGAUAAAAACAAAACAAAAAUCAAAUGGAAGCAGAAAUAAAUUCUUCUUAGGAAAAAAUAAUGGGGAUGUGAAGUUGUUCCAUAAAGCUUCAGUAUUUGGUAUCUUUCGAGAUGAAGGCUAGGGUGUACAAGUUAAAAAAACAUAGCAUCGUGCCAAAGUCUUUUAUAACCAUUCAUUUUGAUCAAAGGGUUCACAUUUUUUGCUCUUUAUCUUUUUUUUCUUUCAAUUUUCUUUGUUUUUCCCAACUUGUCGGGUGUUGUGGAUUUUGCGAUGCUUCAAGUUUCAUUUUUUUUGGUCUAAUUUAGAUUUGUUUCUUUAAGUUUUUUAUUUUUUUGUUUUGCAUCAAUUCUCAGAUCUAAUUCUCAUUUUUAUUAUGUUUCAUGUGUGUUGUUGUUAUUUCUAUGAAAGUCAUUGACGUAUAUGACAGAGAGACAUGGUCGCCAGAGAAGAGCUAGGAGAACUUGCUGGAAGAUGAUACAGGCUUGGGAAGGUAGUUAGGAACUGACUGACAUGUCCAGAGUUAGUUAGAUUUGAUUCUGCUAGUUUUCCCUAAUUGGCAAGUUGUUAGGCAGUUAGUGGUUAGAAGCUAUAAGUAGCAAUUGGCAAUUAGGAAGCAUUUUCAAGCCAUAAUUUGUAAUCAUCUUCCUUCUUGUAAUUUCUUUCUCUAAUAAUGAAAAGCAUGACCACCAUGCUCAUCGGAAUUCAUUCA